UGGUGGGGUGACUUGUCUGCUUAAUUGCGAUAACGAACGAGACCUUAACCUGCUAAUAGCCCGCAUUGCUCCGGCAGUGCGCUGGCUUCUUAGAGGGACUUUCGGCUCAAGCCGAAGGAAGUUUGAGGCAAUAACA
rnacentral:rRNA from 1 species